ensembl:misc_RNA 7SK 7SK RNA
GGAUGCGAGGACGAUCUGACUGUGACAUCUGUCACCCCGUUGAUCGCCAGGGUUGAUUUGGCCCAUCUGGCUGGUUAGGCGGGUGUCCUCUUCCUUCCUUACUGCUCCACAUGCAUCCCUCCUGAAGCUGCUCACUCAAAGAGGUCAACCUUCCCCAACAGAGGAGGACUGUUCUUCCGUCAAGAGUAUUGGAAUAGCCGUAUUCCCCGCUAGGACCUCAAACAAGUUCUCAGGGGCCAUUUGUAGGAGGAUGUAGGGUAGUUAAGCUUCCAUAUUCCAGACACACCCAAAUGAGGGUCUGUGGCACCCAAAUGUGGCAGUCUGCCUUUCUUA